rnacentral:rRNA from 1 species
GACGUAGGGAGCGAGCGUUGUCCGGAUUUAUUGGGCGUAAAGAGCUCGUAGGUGGCUUGUCGCGUCGGUUGUGAAAACCUGCAGCUUAACUGUGGGCUUGCUGCCGAUACGGGCAGGCUAGAGGCAGGUAGGGGAGAGUGGAAUUCCUGGUGUAGCGGUGAAAUGCGCAGAUAUCAGGAGGAACACCGGUGGCGAAGGCGGCUCUCUGGACCUGUACUGACGCUGAGGAGCGAAAGCGUGGGGAGCGAACAGG